CGCUCCUCUUUAUAUAGCAGACUUCGUCUCUUUCGUCUUUCGUCUCCUUCUGUUUGUGAUCCAUAUCUUGACCUCACCUUGAAAGCCCUAAAGUAUCAUCUCUCUCUGUUGGUGAAUUAAUCUGAAUCAUAAUCAUGGAUGAAGAGUACGAUGUGAUAGUGUUGGGAACUGGUCUCAAAGAAUGCAUCCUCAGUGGUCUUCUUUCUGUUGAUGGGCUCAAGGUUCUGCACAUGGAUAGAAAUGACUAUUAUGGAGGAGAGUCUGCAUCACUUAACCUUAUUCAGCUGUGGAAGAGGUUCAGGGGAAAUGAUAAGCCUCCAGCACAUUUGGGUUCAAGUAGGGAUUAUAAUGUGGACAUGAUCCCUAAGUUUAUGAUGGCCAAUGGCAAUCUUGUACGCGUCCUCAUUCACACAGAUGUUACCAAAUAUUUGUACUUUAAAGCAGUGGAUGGCAGUUUUGUCUACAACAAAGGAAAGGUUCACAAGGUGCCAGCAACUGACAUUGAGGCACUUAAAUCUCCUCUGAUGGGUAUUUUUGAGAAGCGCCGUGCUCGCAAGUUUUUCAUAUACGUCCAGGAUUAUAAUGAAAAUGAUCCCAAAACACAUGAGGGAAUGGACUUGACUAGGGUGACAACCAGAGAACUGAUUGCAAAAUAUGGUCUUGAUGACAACACAGUGGACUUCAUUGGUCAUUCAUUAGCGCUUCAUAGAGAUGAUCAGUACCUAGAUGAACCAGCACUGGAUACUGUGAUGAGAAUGAAGCUUUAUGCGGAAUCUCUUGCCCGUUUUCAAGGAGGAUCGCCAUAUAUUUAUCCUUUGUAUGGAUUAGGAGAGCUCCCACAGGCAUUUGCACGACUUAGUGCUGUUUAUGGUGGCACAUAUAUGUUGAAUAAACCUGAGUGCAAGGUAGAGUUCAAUGAGGAAGGCAAAGUUGUUGGUGUCACAUCAGAAGGGGAAACUGCUAGGUGCAAAAAAGUUGUUUGUGAUCCUUCUUACUUGCCCAACAAGGUUAGGAAGGUUGGUAGGGUUGCCAGAGCAAUUGCCAUCAUGAGCCACCCAAUUCCAAACACCAAUGAUUCUCAUUCAGUUCAGGUUAUCUUGCCUCAAAAGCAGUUGGGUCGCAGAUCAGACAUGUACCUUUUCUGUUGUUCGUAUACUCACAAUGUUGCU
rnacentral:misc_RNA from 1 species